rnacentral:lncRNA from 1 species
CUGGUCUCCAUCCGUUUUAUGGCCUGCUGGGCUCAGGCAGCUGGGCCCUGUUUGUCAGGGGAGCUUUCAGGGCAGGAAAUGUGAUCGGGCGGCUGAUUUAUGUCCUCACCUGGUCUUUGUUCACAAGCCUUGCUCUGGCCCCCCGCUCUCCUCCAGGGAUUCCCGCCCUCUGGCUUCUUCCAGGGCCGCCACUGACCGCCCGAGCCCAAGCUGGCCUUCGUGAGGUGGGGAC